rnacentral:rRNA from 1 species
UACGGGGGGGCAAGGCGUUGUUCGGAAUUACUGGGCGUAAAGGGCUCGUAGGCGGCCAACUAAGUCAUACGUGAAAUCCCUCGGCUUAACCCGGGGAACUGCGUCUGAUACUGGAUGGCUUGAGUUCGGGAGAGGGAUGCGGAAUUCCAGGUGUAGCGGUAGAAAUGCGUAGAUAUCUGGAGGAACACCGGUGGCGAAGGCGGGCUACUCGGCG